rnacentral:tRNA from 1 species
ACUUGAAUAGCUUAUGUUUAGAGUAUAACAUUGAAGAUGUUAUUGAGGUUUAUACCUUCAAGUG